AAUUUAAUGGCCCGUAUGCUUUUGCCGUGGACUCUGAAACGUGUCCUUGAUUUAGCUCAUAACCAACGCCUUUCAUAGUAUACCUACCCUCAAGAGAAAAGCCUAACAUAUCUUCUACUACUAUUUAUAUAUCCCUCUUUCUCUUCUCUUUCGCCUCCUUCUCCCAGUCAUGGAAAAGCUCCAAGAGUCAACAAAUACCCACCAGCAAAAACCCAUCUCUGAUAACCCUCUUGUUUGGGACUGUGGAAGCACUCUUUAUGAUUCUUUUGAGCUCAAAUCUUUCGAGCGUCAACUUUACUCUGCUAUACAUUCAAGAACUUUAUCCAUGCCUCAUUUACCUGAUCGAAGAGUGCCUGUGGCAGUAGAGAAUUCUCAGCCUCCUCUUCCUCUUUCUCUUGCUCCUUCUGUCUCAAAGAAAACCUCUAAAAUUUCUC
rnacentral:misc_RNA from 1 species